GGCUCAGAACGAACGCUGGCGGCAGGCUUAACACAUGCAAGUCGAGCGCCCCGCAAGGGGAGCGGCAGACGGGUGAGUAACGCGUGGGAAUCUACCCUUGACUACGGAAUAACGCAGGGAAACUUGUGCUAAUACCGUAUGUGUCCUUCGGGAGAAAGAUUUAUCGGUCAAGGAUGAGCCCGCGUUGGAUUAGCUAGUUGGUGGGGUAAAGGCCUACCAAGGCGACGAUCCAUAGCUGGUCUGAGAGGAUGAUCAGCCACAUUGGGACUGAGACACGGCCCAAACUCCUACGGGAGGCAGCAGUGGGGAAUAUUGGACAAUGGGCGCAAGCCUGAUCCAGCCAUGCCGCGUGAGUGAUGAAGGCCCUAGGGUUGUAAAGCUCUUUCACCGGAGAAGAUAAUGAC
rnacentral:rRNA from 2 species